AGCAGCCGCGGUAAUUCCAGCUCCAAUAGCGUAUAUUAAAGUUGCUGCAGUUAAAAGCUCGUAGUUGAAUUUCGGGACUAAUAUGUCGGUCGUGCCUCGGUACGUACUGGUUUAUUGGUUUCUCCUUUCUGAAGAACCAUGAUGUCAUUUAUUUGGUGUCGUGGGGAAUCAGGACUGUUACUUUGAAAAAUUAGAGUGUUUAAAGCAGGCUCACGCUUGAAUACAUUAGCAUGGAAUAAUGAAAUAGGACGUUUGAUUCUAUUUUGUUGGUUUCUAGGAUCGACGUAAUGAUUAAUAGGGAUAGUUGGGGGCAUUAGUAUUCAAUUGUCAGAGGUGAAAUUCUUGGAUUUAUUGAAGACUAACUACUGCGAAAGCAUUUGCCAAGGAUGUUUUCAUUAAUCAAGAACGAAAGUUAGGGAUCGAAGACGAUCAGAUACCGUCGUAGUCUUAACCAUAAACUAUG
rnacentral:misc_RNA from 1 species